GACGAACGCUGGCGGCGUGCUUAACACAUGCAAGUCGAACGGAAAGGCCCCCUUGUGGGGUACUCGAGUGGCGAACGGGUGAGUAACAACGGAGUAACCUACCCUUGACUUUGGGAUAACUUCAGGAAACUGGGGCUAAUACCGGAUAGGAGCUCCUGCUGCAUGGUGGGGGUUGGUAAGUUUCGGCGGUUGGGGAUGGACUCGCGGCUUAUCAGCUUGUUGGUGGGGUAGUGGCUCACCAAGGCUUUGACGGGUAGCCGGCCUGAGAGGGUGACCGGCCACAUUGGGACUGAGAUACGGCCCAGACUCCUACGGGAGGCAGCAGUGGGGAAUAUUGCACAAUGGGCGGAAGCCUGAUGCAGCAACGCCGCGUGCGGGAUGACGGCCUUCGGGUUGUAAACCGCUUUCGCCUGUGACGAAGCGUGAGUGACGGUAAUGGGUAAAGAAGCACCGGCUAACUACGUG
rnacentral:rRNA from 1 species